GUGGGGAAUAUUGGGCAAUGGGGGAAACCCUGACCCAGCAACGCCGCGUGAGGGAAGAAGGUUUUCGGAUUGUAAACCUCUGUCCUUGGUGACGAAGGAAGUGACGGUAACCAAGGAGGAAGCCCCGGCUAACUACGUGCCAGCAGCCGCGGUAAUACGUAGGGGGCAAGCGUUGUCCGGAAUGACUGGGCGUAAAGGGCGUGUAGGCGGUCGAUUAAGUCUGGAGUGAAAGUCCUGCUUUCAAGGUGGGAAUUGCUUUGGAGACUGGUUGGAUUGAGUGCGGAAGAGGUAAGUGGAAUUCCCAGUGUAGCGGUGAAAUGCGUAGAGAUUGGGAGGAACACCAGUGGCGAAGGCGACUUACUGGGCCGUAACUGACGCUGAGGCGCGAAAGCGUGGGGAGCGAACAGGAUUAGAAACCCGAGUAGUCC
rnacentral:rRNA from 1 species